ensembl:snRNA U6 U6 spliceosomal RNA
GUGGAUUCUAGGCCAUCAGAGGCUACAUAGUAAGAGAAAUUGGAAUGAUACAGAGAAGAUUGGCAUGACCCUAGACAAGGGUAGCAUGAAUAUUUACAAAGCACUCUAAAUUUAA